CUAUGCGUAGCCGACCUGACGAGGGUGAUCGGCCACACUGGGACUGAGACACGGCCCAGACUCCUACGGGAGGCAGCAGUAGGGAAUCUUCCGCAAUGGACGAAAGUCUGACGGAGCAACGCCGCGUGAGUGAUGAAGGCUUUCGGGUCGUAAAACUCUGUUGUUAGGGAAGAACAAGUGCUAGUUGAAUAAGCUGGCACCUUGACGGUACCUAACCAGAAAGCCACGGCUAACUACGUGCCAGCAGCCGCGGUAAUACGUAGGUGGCAAGCGUUAUCCGGAAUUAUUGGGCGUAAAGCGCGCGCAGGUGGUUUCUUAAGUCUGAUGUGAAAGCCCACGGCUCAACCGUGGAGGGUCAUUGGAAACUGGGAGACUUGAGUGCAGAAGAGGAAAAGUGGAAUUCCAUGUGUAGCGAUGAAAUGCGUAGAGAUAUGGAGGAACACCAGUGG
rnacentral:rRNA from 1 species